rnacentral:rRNA from 1 species
UACGUAGGGGGCCAGCGUUGUCCGGAAUCAUUGGGCGUAAAGCGCGCGUAGGCGGCCAGAUAAGUCCGGUGUGAAAGUCAAAGGCUCAACCUUUGAAUGCCGCUGGAAACUGUCUGGCUAGAGUCCGGGGAGGGGCGAGUGGAAUUCCUGGUGUAGCGGUGAAAUGCGCAGAUAUCAGGAGGAACACCGGUGGCGAAGGCGGUUCUCUGGGCAUUACCUGACGGCUGAGGAGCGAAAGUGUGGGGAGCGAACAGG